rnacentral:rRNA from 1 species
GAAGCCUGGAUGCAGCAACGCCGCGUGCGCGAAGAAGGUCUUCGGAUCNGUAAAGCGCUUUUCUGGGAGAUGAGAAAGGACAGUAUCCCAGGAAUAAGUCUCGGCUAACUACGUGCCAGCAGCCGCGGUAACACGUAGGAGGCGAGCGUUAUCCGGAUUCACUGGGCGUAAAGCGCGUGCAGGCGGUUCGGUAAGUUGGGCGUGAAAUCUCCCGGCUCAACUGGGAGAGGUCGUUCAAUACUACCGGACUUGANAGCGAUAGAGGAAAAUGGAAUUCCCGGUGUAGUGGUGAAAUGCGUAGAUAUCGGGAGGAACACCAGUGGCGAAAGCGAUUUUCUGGAUCGUUUCUGCGCUCAGACGCGAAAGCUAGGGUAGCAAACGGGAUUAGAGACCCCGGUAGUCCUAGCCGUAAACGAUGUGAACUUGGCGUCGGUGGCUUAAACUCCAUCGGUGCCGAAGCCAACGCGAUAAGUUCACCGCCUGGGGACUACGACCGCAAGGUUAAAACUCAAAGGAAUUGACGGA